rnacentral:lncRNA from 1 species
ACACUGAUCCUGCGAUGAUAUUCUUGUUUAAUGCUAUGCAAGUCAAGCUUGUAAUUGUUUGCCUCAGUAACUGGAGGAACUCAUCAUCUUUAUCAGCCUUCAAAUCCUUGUUAAUGGCAUUGCCAAACUCAUUGUUGUAGUGAUUCAAGGUUGCAUCAGCUGUGCUUUACUCCUGGUAGAGAGGAUCCUGAUGAGCUCCACAUCAUCGUAGGCUUUGUCUGAGAUUUUCUCAUUAAGUAUCUUAGCCUCUUUCUUUGCCAAGGGCAUGCUGAUCUCAUCUCCCUCGUAUCGCUAAGUGCUCAAAAGAGGAACCAAAAGCUAUGACAGAGUCAACAAUCCGAAAGCAAGAAAAAAGAAAAUCUAGGCAGCAAUGUAGUUGAAGAUGUUUGAACAAAUCACUUCCAAUUCAAUACAAGAAAUUGGAUACCAAUAUAAGAUAAAGAAGAUACAGUUUCAACUAGCCAACUUGACAUUUGAGAGCCCAAUCAGAUUAAGAAUGAGUUUGGAGGUUGAAGGUUUGUACCUUGAGCAAGUCUCCAGAUGUAUGGUAUGCAACAUCUUCUUCAAGGGAUUUCUUGUAACGCACAUGAUACGCCUGCUUUACCAGCAACAGAUCAUGAGAAGACCUAGAAGUAGCUAUUUCCAAGAGCAAUUUAUUGCUUGAAGUGAACCUCUUUGUAGCUUCAUUAGCUAAAAAUGCAUCAGGCUCAGCAGGAACCUCCUUGAGCAAGUCUCCAGAUGUAUGGUAUGCAACAUCUUCUUCAGGGGAUUUCUUGUAAUGCACAUGAUACGCCUGCUUUACCAGCAACAGAUCAUGAGAAGACCUAGAAGUAGCUAUUUCCAAGAGCAAUUUAUUGCUUGAAGUGAACCUCUUCGUAGCUUCAUUAGCUAAAAAUGCAUCACGCUCAGCAGGGACCAGUGUCCACAGCAGCACAGCCCUCUGGUUAUGCAGCAAAAUAGGAAAUUCGAGCAGUAAACCUUUGAAAACAAAAUUCAAAGUAAAAACAAACCAGUAUUCAACUGAAAGAUUUAAUGCAUCUAAAUCUGACCUCCAAAACACUUGAGAGCUCUUUGUCCUGUGACUUAAGAAGCUCUUCCCCAUAAAUUUCUGCAUGUCUGCUGAAUUAAUUUUCUCUGAGCUGCAUCCUGUGAGUCAGUAUCGAUAUGAUCAACGCCUUAUUUGUCACCCAUCCUGCACACAAAUUACAAAAAUAAAGUUGAUAAUACAGAAUAUAACCAUAAAAGUGCCUUGAUAAUGCAACAAAUCUUCAACCUCUAUCCCUAAUAUGAGAAGUUUUGGUUAAAUGCCUCAAUGUGCAGCUAGAUGCCAAGUAUUCAAAUUGCUCAAUGACAUCAAGCAUUGGUUUUCUUCUUCAUCAUAUGUUCUCCCAACUCCGUUUUCAUUGAUGACCCCUUUCAUGUAAAUGGAAUUUUGUGCAAAUUCCAUAUAAAAGAAUUGGACCUAACGAAAAGCUUAGGAUGGAUGUCAAUGAAUCAGAUAAGGAUUUCAAGUACCAGGUCUUGUCUCUUUUAUAUUAGCAAUAAAUUCCAGAGCAAGGAACUAGUCAAGAUUAAAGUAGUUUACUUAAGCACCAAGGCCUUGUAAUUGCUCAUAAUGAUUGGAGUAAAUAAACAAGAAUAUUAGUUGAAGUAUUUGUUAAUUUUUGUUAGUCAAUAGUGAAACUCAAACUGACACAAUAGGAUAAUUUUAAAAAAAAGACAUAGAUCUAAUACUCUGAUCCAACAAAAAUGAUCCCAAGAAAUUCAAACAAUAAUCAAAGAGAAGGGAACAAAUACUUACAAAAAAAACCCAGAAAACAGAUACAUACAAAGUAAGAGAACAUGAAAGCAGAUCAAACUUUAGAUGAUCAAACAUAUCAGAUUAUUAUUAUUAUUAUUAUUAUUAUUUUGAAUAGAAACAUUGUAUUGAUAAUCAAGAGGAAAAAUCCUCGAUCAAACAAGAAGACCAAAAAAUAAAGAAUCUGACCUACUAAGAUUGAAAAAAAAAACUGUAUAAAAACACGAAAAACACAAAACUUCAGUAAAAUCAUCUUACGACUGCCAUCAUGUCUCUCAUGAUGAUAAAGUAGUGAUAGUCCUUGAACUGCCCCGAAAACCGAAGCCCAAAGGGAUGCCCAAAAUUUAAUUCUGUCCCAUAAUUCCUCAACCCUUACUCCUAUAUGACCCUGAAAAAUUCUUCGAUUUCGCUCCAUCUAGAUAUUCCAGAAAAUAGCAUGAACUAGACAAUCACGAAGGAUUCCAGCUCUCUUCCCCUUCCCCGAAAUCCUCGGAUUGAUACUAAGGAGCUCAAAACACCCUUUAGGAAUCACCCACUCCGCUCCGAGAGCACCCAACAUCCUCCACCAUAAUUUUAGGGAAUACGAACAAUGAAUGAACAACUGAUCAAUGUUUUCUGCAUUCUCUUUGCAAAGAACACACCAAGAGGGGGAUAAACACAUCUUUGGUUGCCUCCUUUGAAUGCAAUCGCAAGUAUUAAUCCUGCCAUUUGCUGCCAGCCACACGAAAAAUUGAAUUUUCGGCGGAGUCUUUGCCUUCCAGAUUGAACUGAAAGGGGGGAAGACAUCCCUAGUGGUAGAGAGAAGAAAAGACCUGAAAGACUUGCAGGAAAAAGAACCCUGCUCCUCAAUCUCCCAAGAUCUCCGAUCCGAUCUAGAACCGUAUAAUCUCACCUUCCCCAAUAUAUCCAAAAGUAUUACCACUUCUGCUAUUUCAGCCUCGGACAAAUUCCUUCUGAAAUCAAAAUCCCAAUUGAGAGGCAUCUCAUGAUUGUUAGCAAAACGGGCUAUACUUUGAUUUUUUCUCCUAGACAAGGAAGAGAGUCUAGGAAACAGAUCUUUUAGAAUCCCUUCUUUCAGCCAAAGAUCCUCUCCCCAUUUCCAACAGAAAAUCUGCAGCAUUGAAGAAGAGGAUUAUACCCUUUCGAAAUUUCUAGCCAAGGAUUCCUGCAAGACACCUUAACUAUCUGUUUAGUAUCCCACCCAUUUGAGUCUAUUCCGUACUUGCUCUUAAUGAUCCUAUGCCAUAGCGAAUUGGUUUCAAGUGGAAAUCUCCACAACCAUUUAGCUCUGAGGGCUUCAUUUCUUUCUCUUAAAGAGCCAAUUCCAAGACCACCUUCCUCUUUCGAUUUAGUCACCCUUUCCCACCUGACCAAGUGACAUUUCUUCCCUUCUUCUAGACCCUCCCAUAAAAAGUUACGCAUAAGUUGUUCUACUUUGGCGGCCACUCCUGUAGGCAUCUUAAACAGUGACAUAUAGUAAGAAGGAAUGCUGCUCAAAACCACUUGGAUUAGCGUUAACCUUCCACCUUUGGAUAAGCAAGCGCUCUUCCAUUUUUGAAGUCUUUUCUCCACCUUAUCCUUUACUGGAUUCCAGAAAUUAAGAGCUCUUGGGUUUCCCCCGAGAGGAAGACCCAAGUAAACCAUAGGCCAGCAACCAACCUCGCAUCCCCAACUGCCCGCCAUGUUAUUCAGAGCUUCAAUACUAAAAUUGAUCCCCAGAAUGCAACUUUUAGCCUUAUUAAUCUUCAUCCCAGACACAUCACAGAACAACUUCAACAGCUGCAACAGAUUUAACCAAUACUCUUCCUUGCCAUCCAAAAGGAAAAUGGUAUCAUCUGCAAAUUGGAGGUGAGAAACUUCCACUUGAUCAUGACCAGAAACAAUUCCUUGUACUAGGUUAACAUCUUGAGCCCUUUCUAUUAUUCUGCUUAAAACAUCGCUAACCAAGGUAAAUAGGAAUGGUGAUAACGGGUCCCCUUGUUUUAAUCCCCUAGAGGCUCUGAACUUUCCUCUUGGUUUUCCAUUAAUCAUAAUGGAAAAGUUGACAGAUUCCAAGCAGCCUAUAAUCCAGCCUCUCCAUUUGACACCAAAGCCUUUCCUUUCCAGCACAUCAUCUACGAAAUUCCAUUCCACAUGGUCGUAUGCUUUCUCGAAGUCAAUUUUGAAAACCAGCCCUUUUCUUUUCUGUUUUCUGACUUCCUCUACAACUUCAUUUGCAACUAACACAGCAUCUAGAAUCUGUCUCUUUUGGACAAAGGCUCCCUGAGAUUGGGAGAUAGUAUUUCCAAGAACCUCCCUCAAUCUUGAAGCCAAGACCUUGGAUAUCACUUUACAAACAUAUCAGAUUAUAAGAAGACAAUACUUGCUAGUCAAUGGUGAACCUCGACAAGAUAAUCAUUCAACAGAUCUAGAUCUAAACUUUCAUUCAACAAAACUGAUGCUAACUUACUGAUUGAAGAAAAAAUCACAGAGAAAGAAACACAUCCUGGUCAUUAUCACAUUAUAAGAACCCAUAGAACACAUACUUACAAAAUAGAACAAUAUGGAAGCAGAUGGAUCAAACUAACUUUAGAUGAUCAGCUACAUCAGAAAACAAAGUCAUGUCAAACACCAAAUUAUCAAAUUUUAUUUGCUCCAAAGAUUGCGUUAAUUUAGUCUGAGUCUUAGAAGAAGUGAUCAGUAAAAGACCUUCAAAAGCUUUCUGAAGUUGUUCGGCAUCUUCCACUGGAGAAGGAACCACAUCUGGUACUCUAAGAGUCGCCAUUCUUUCUCUCUGUGUCUCUUAAGUGUGUGAUCCCACAAAAUUUUGGAUGUUGAUUAUUUGAGGUGGAGCUGAUGAAGCAUCUUUGGAUGGAAUUGAACUCCUUUUGAAAGUUUAAAUUGCUAUCCUCUCAGCACAAUCCGUCAAACUUUAAUUUGAAUGUCAAAAACAUAUUAAGAUUCUACGAUCCAACUAUCUGAAUUUAAUGUCUCCAGACUCUCUCCAACUGCAAAAGCAUGCACCUGGUCCUGAACCUGAACCCAACUGCAAGCACGGUUCUUCUUCACUCCUCUUGAUUUCAUCAGUUCCCUCACCCUGUUUACCUCAUCCCAUCUCCCAGCUUCUGCAUACAUGUUUGAAAGAAGUAUAUAGUACCCACAAUGCUCAGGGUUCAACCUGAACAAAUGGUCUGCUGCCCAACUAGCCAACUCUACGUUCCCAUGGAUUCGGCAUGCUCCAAGCAAGGCACCCCAAAUAUUGGCAUCUGGUACAAUGGGCAUGCCUUUAAUAAGCUCUACUGCUUCUUCCAUAAGGCCAGCUCGGCCAAGGAGAUCAACCAUGCAAGCAUAGUGCUUUUCUGUCGGCUCUAUAUUCAGUGCCUGCAUUCCCUCAAAAUAUUUUUUCCCCUUCUCAACCAGCCCUCCAUGGCUACAAGAUGACAAAACUGCAAUAUAGGAAACUGAAUCGUAUUCUACACCGUCUUCCCUCAUUGCUUCAAAAAGACUGAUUGCAGUGUUAAGCUCACCUAGCAUUCCAUACCCCAAAAUCAUAGUAUUCCAAGAGGCUACAUCCUUGCUUGGAAUGCGGUCAAAGACCUUAGCAGCAAGAUCAAUUCGUCCGCAUUUGGUAUAAAAAUCCAAAAGUGAGUUUGCAACAAACAGAUGAGUAUGGAAAAGCUUUCUUACUAAUGACCCAUGAAUCUCUUUGCCUUGCUUGAUUGCAGUUACAUUUGCGCAAGCUGAUAUAACUCCCACAAAGGAAACAAUGUCAUGAAUCAUUCCCACAAGCUUCAUUUCAGAAAACAAAUUCAGAGACUCUAAGCAAUCCGUAGUUUGAGAAUAGCCAAUUAUUAGUAUAUUAUAAGACACCUCAUCCCUGAGGGAGAUGUCAAAUACAUUCCGAGCAAGAUCUAGCCGGCCACAUUUUGCGUACAUGUCUGUCAGAGCAUUGGAGACAAACAAAUCGGAGGCAUAUAGCAUGCGGACUGUCCUUGCAUGGAUUUCUUUUCCAUAAUGAAGGGAACCCAACCGAGCACACGUUGGAAGAAGAUUUGUGAAGGUGACAGAAUUGGGAAUUUCACCAUGACCUUGCAUUUGUCUCACAAGUCCAAUGGCUUCCAACUCAAGCCUGUUUUGACCAAAAUUAGCAAUCAUAGCAUUCCAGGAAACAAUAUUCCUUUUAUCCAUCUCUUGGAAAACAUUGGAUGCCUCAUUUGAACGGCCUGAUUUUGCAUACAUAUCAAUUAGUGAGUUGGCAAUGAAGACAUCCGAUUCAAUACCCAUUCUUAUACUGAAACCAUGGAGUCUUCUACCAACUCCAAAAAAUGCAAGUUCAACCAACACUGGUAUCAUGCUAGAAAUUGUGACAGAGUUUGGUUUAACCCCUUCAUCAAUCAUCCAUCUAAAUGUAGCCAAGGCUUCAAUGUUAUGCCCCAUGUAAGAGAGACUAGUGAUAGCAGCAUUCCAAGAAACCUCAUUCUUCUGAAUUAUCUCACCAAAAACUUGUUUUGAAGCGUUCGCAUUCCCACAUUUCCCGUACACAUCAACCAAUGCAUUUCCAGUAGUGACCAGAAGAUCCAAACCAGCCUUCACAACAUAGCAAUGAAUCUGGAUCGCCAUCCGCUCAUCUUCCAACUCUGCACAAACCGGCAACACACUAAUGACACUAACAAGAUUUGGCUUAAACCCAAUUCCCAAAUUCAUCUCUCUAUAAUAAUGAAGUGCCUGCACGAAAAACCCAUUGGCUGUAAACACACCAAUAACCGUAUUCCAUGAGACAACAUCCCUUUCACGCAUUUCAUCAAACACCCUCUUUGCAUCUCUCAUAUCCCCACAACUACCAUAUAACAUUAAAAGUGUAUUUCCAACGAAAACAUCAAAAUCAAAGCCCACUUUAAACACAACCCCAUGAAUCUCCAUCCCUUUUUUUACGUCCAAAAGGUCUGAACACGCUUUGAGAACGAAAGGAAAUGUAUGAUCAUCGAGUCCAACACCGCUUCGAACCAUUCGAUUGUAAGUCUGAAAAUUAUCAUUAACUUGAGCAAUGGAAUAAGCCCGUAUGAGGGUGUUCCACAAGAAAGCAGUGCGACAACGAUGAACUGUUUGUUCGAAGAGAUGGUGAGAGGUUUCCGGGUAUUUGAAAGUGGCGUAACUGAGCAUGAGGGAGGCGCAAAGAGAGACACUGUGGGGAAGUAAACCAUUGAGGAGAGCAGAAGCAUGGACUUGCUUGGUUUGGUGAAGGGUUUGGACAUUGGAGCUGAGUGUGAGGAGGUCAGUAUGAGGGUAAGUUGGUGAGGCAUGUGUGCACAGCGUUGUGGUGGUAGAGAAAGACAAGAUCUGGCUUGGAGUGUAAUAAUGUUUUCUGCAUGAGAGUAGCGGAACCAAAUGAAAGUGUCUUAGUGCAUGGUGGAGAUGGUUUAACAUAGAAAGAAGCAAGGAGUUGAUGUCUUAGAAGAACGAUAUUAUAUAAGUUUGUAGCUUCUCUGUUCUUUGGCCAUCAGUGGUCUACACUCUCACUAUUCUUCAUUACACUGAAAUGUUAGAAAACAAUAUGUAAGCUAUAAGGCAACUGCGGUUGCCAAUAAAUAUGGGGUUAAUUUUUUCAAUAAGCGGUUACUGAUAAACAUAAAGUUCGAAACAAUGAAAAACAUAGGAUAUAUAAUUCAGAAUCUCAUGGGAGCAACAAAUCAAUUGCAGCAAAGUAAAUUUGGUCUGGCAUUUAACAAAAAAAAUUCAAUUUCUAAAUUAUUUACAGAAAAAUGCAAGCUACAAACCUUAGUAAGAAAUCGUGGUCAGUGCCAGUAGUAAGAUACAGGAGGCCCUAUACCAAAAUAGAAAUGGUGUUCCUUUUUAUAUGAAACUAAAAUGAGUAAGUUCUUCACAUCUUCUGUUCUUUUUCUUUCCAGGAAUCAAUCCUAUCCAGAUGGGUGUAUCUAGGAGACAUUUUUAAAGUUAAACAAACACAUAUAUAACAGUGAAAUUGGGGAAAAAGAAAAAAGAUAGAACAUGAUUUUUAAGCAGGAAGUACAAACUCAGGUUUGCUUGAGAAAAUUCACAAGCAAAAUGUAUGACAAUUAAUCUGAAAUUAAAACCUGGCGAAGAAGACAAUGCCUACUUUGAUGGUGCAUAAUUUUCUUACCUUACAAUUCCCAGAUUUCAUCAGCUUCCCGAAUCAGAUUCUUCAUAUCAGAUGAAAAUCGUUCCCAAAUUCCUCAAUCAGAUCCAAAUCGUCCUUGAGAUUCACAUCUGCAUUGUCCGAAUCCAUCAACACCUUCAAUUCGUCAAACGGCCACCCAAAAUCGUUCCCCUCCUUCUGCAACCUUGUCUGUUGAACCUUCUUCGCGCGACUGGGCUUAGGUUCGGUGUUCAAAACUUUUUUUUGGCCAACAUUGUUCGGUACUUCGCUGCCUCUUCAUGUUGGUGGGUUUUAAUGGGCUAAGAGCAUCUCCAACCGAUGUGUCAAAAGUAAUACAUAAAUAUUUAAUAGUUAAAAAUAAAAUCUCAUAUCAUUUCAACCGAAGUGUUAAAACUGAUGUGGAAUGAAGGCCAGAUGUUGAGAUGUUAUUUUUGACAUUCCAAAAGUAAGAUGUCAAAUGAAUAUUUUAUUAUUUUUUCUUUUCUUUUCUUUUUAAUUAAAAAUAAAUCAACACUAAAAUGUAAUAAAAUAAUAAUUUAAUUUGACACAUCAGAUGGAGUGUAAAGCUAUGUAAGAGCAUCUCCAACUGAUGUGUCAAACGUGCCACAUAGACAUUUAACAACUAGAAAUAACAUCUCACAUCACUCCGACCGAUGUGUCAAAACUGAUGUGGAAUGAAUGCUAGAGGUUGAGAUGUUAUUUUUGACAUCCCAAAAGCAAGAUGUUAAAUGAAUAUUUUAUUAUUUUUUAAAGAUAGGUGGCUAUUACUUGAUAGGUGGCUAUUACUUUCAUUUAUUAUUUUCCUUUUUUAUUUUUUGUUUCUUCUUUAUCUUAAAUGAUUUGAUUGUUACAAUAAUUAUUUAUUUGACAUAUCGGGUGGAGUGUAAAAGUAUGCAAAUGUCAAAUUGCCACAUCAGCCAUCAAAUUUAAAUUUGAUGUUUGGUAUUUGACAUCUCCCUUGGAGAUACUCUAUGUUAAAUUGCCACAUCAAAUUUGAUGUUUGGUAUUUGACAUCUUCCUUGGAGAUGCUCAAGGCCAAUUAUUUAAAAACUUUCAACAAAAAAUCUUUUAACUCAUACCCAGCUAAUAUAUAUAUAUAUAUAUAUAUAUUUACAGAUAUAAUAAACUACAUGGAAAGCUUUGAAUUAAUAAACUAUAUAUGGCAUAUGAAAUUGGAGUAUGAACAUCAAUAUUUUAUUUUUUAUUAAUAUAUAUAUAUAUAUUAUUAUAAAUUUAUUAUUUUUUUAAGGUAAAAUUAUAGUAAUUGUUCCUAGACUAAGAUUAAACUUUACUUUUCGUUCCUCAUAUUGUUAAAUUAUUACGGUGGUACUUUAAUUAUGCCUCCACUUUUAGAAAUUAUCCUUUCCAUUAUCUAGUCAACUUUUUCACUAAAAAUGAUGACAUGGCUUGGCAUCGACAAAAAUGUCUUUUCACACAAAAAAUUUAAAAAAUAAAUCAAAUCUCUCUCUCCAGCGCCGAUUCAAAAUAAAAAAAUGAAAAAUGAAAGCUAAAGACAGAGAUUCGGGCUUUUCCAAAGAAUUAAUGCAGCUUUCCCAUUCCCUUUGAUUUUCUUCCCAGCCCCAAAUUUCUUGUCAAUUAAUAAAAUUUUGCUUGUUGGAUUAUGCUGGUUGUUUAUCCAUUGAUUUUUUUUAUUUUUUCUGGAGAUCUCAGUCCGCUUUGAUAUAUUAGGCUCCCAAAAAAGAAUGGCCUCUCUAUUUCUUCAUCAACCAAGCAUGACUUAGCUAGGUAUAUGAAAUCGAAACCUAUAUGAGGAGCGAUCUUCAGUGCAACCCAAAAGGUGAUGAAAAGCGAUCCAUCCUCCUACUAAGGAGACAAACAAUGCAAGCGGCCCACCUAGAUACCCAUCAACCCUCUGCUUCUCUGUUUUGACCAGAUUUAGGGUGGAGGAAGGGGGCUGGGGUUUUGGGUUCAUGGGUGCUGGGAUUGCGGGCUACGGUAGAGGGUGGCUGUGCUUGUGGGAUAGGUUUGAGGGUUGGAGCUUGCAGGUGGUAGUCAUGGGGGAAUGAUGGAAGAAGAAAUCAUCGGGGGAAGAGGGAGAGCGCACAGGAGAGAGAGAGAGAGAGAGAGAGAGAGAGAGAGAGAGAGAGAGAAAUUAUGAAUGUCCCAAUUUGCCCUUAAUUUUGACAGAAAAUUUAACUAAGUUGACGGAAAGACCAAUGAUGCAACAUGAGAUCUAAUUGAAAUAUCACCGUAACAAUUUAACAAUAUGAAUGAUGAAAAGUAAAGUUUGGUCUUAGUCCAGGGAUCAUUACUACAAUUUUUUGAGAUUUGUCAUUUUUCGUGUUCAAGAUUGGUCUAGGGGUGUACAAGAUUUAAUUCAAUCCAUCUAAAUUAACCAAUUCAAUCCAAUUAAAUCCAAUUAAAUUUCAAUCAAUUUUGAUGAUUUGGCGGAUUGAAUUUGAUCCAUAAUUUUUAAAAAAGACAUGAUUGGAUUGGAUGACUGAUUUACUUAUGAGAAUCCAAUCCAAUAUGGUUAGUUUUCAGUUUAUUUUGCUCUUGUAGAUAUUUAUAAUUAAAAAAGUUAUGAAUAUUUUAAGUCAUUUAAUGAAAUACUAUUUAAUAUAUUAUAUAAUCAAAAUAAUUUUUUAUGAUAUUUCAUUUAUAUUUUACAUUUACGUCUAUUAAUAUUUUAAUUAGAUUAAACUUAAAGAUAAAUGUUUAAUGCCCUUCCAUAUAGAUCGUUGUCGCAUGAACUUUGUCAAUAAAUUACUAGCCUUCCUAUUGAUCUUGAUUAGUUUCAGCUUAUUGAGAGUUCUCUUUUCUUUCUAUUCUAGACCGGACCCAUUUUUAGAUCGUCUCCUGAAACACCUGCUUAUCCUGCAUGUGCUUUCAGAGCCCCCCCACCCAUUCAAUAACUUGCUUGUGAUUGCAGCCAUUCUCCCAUUUUAUUAUUGUCCCUUUCCAUUAAACCAAUCAUCCAAUCCAAUCCAAUCUAAUUCAAUCCAAUUCAAUAUUAAUUCGAUUGAAUCGAAUUACAUUUAAACAUCUAAUAUGAUUGUAUUGGAUUGAAAAAAUCACAAUCCAAUUUAUAUUAAAUCAGAUAUGAAUGGUCCAAUUCAAUUCAAAUCUAAUCCAAUUCAAUCUAAUUCAAUCCAAUUCGAUCCGAUCGAAUUGCAUUUAAACAUCUAAUAUAAUUGUAUCGAAUUGAAAAAAUCACAAUCCAAUUUAUAUUAAAUUCAAAAUUGUAUUGGUUUCCAAACCAAUAUAUCCCUAAAUUGGUCAAAAUAAAAUAUGAAAGGGAAAUGGGAAAAAGAGAAGUCCAACAUUAUCAUAUAUAUAAUAGAACAUAAAACACAACUCCUUUAGCAAAAAUACAAAAGAAGAUGCACAUAAAUUAUAUAAAAUAAGUCCAUCCAUAAUCUUUACUCACCGCACUAGCAAGAUUUAUUGAACAAAGUCCACACAAAACCAUAAAAGAAGAAGAAGCAUCCAAUGAAGGAAAAGAUAACAACUCAUGGAAGAAAACAUUGUGGGAUUCAAGCAUCUCCAUGUCCAACCAGUUCCACAAGAAACUUCUCAUAGUCUCCAGAAGUGUCUUUAACAAUUGCCUGGUCCAAAGGAACACUGUUCCUGCGAUGAUAUUCUUGUUUAAUGCGAUGCAAGUCAACCUCCGCCCGGGUGGUGACAACCCUAGUAAGAGCCCCUUCGUCCGUCCCGAGCUUGUUGAUAGCCAGGCGCAGAACCUUCUCAAAGUAUUUUUCAGGGACGGUCAAGCUUUUAAUUGUUUGCCUCAGUAACAGGAGGAACUCAUCAUCUUUAUCAGCCUUCAAAUCCUUGUUAAUGGCAUUGCCAAACUCGUUGUUGUAGUGAUUCAAGGUUGCAUUCAGCUGUGCUUUACUCCUGGUAGAGAGGAUCCUGAUGAGCUCCUCAUCAUUGUAGGCUUUGUCUGAGAUUUUCUCAUGAAGUAUCUUAGCCUCUUUCUUCGCCAAGGGCACGCUGAUCUCAUCUCCCUCGUAUCGGUAAGUGCUCAAAAGAGGAACCAAAAGCUGUGACAGAAUCAACAAUCAGAGCAAAAGGAAGAAAAAAGAAAUUCUAGGCAGCAAUGUAGUUGAAGCUGUUUGAACAAAUUACUUCCAAUUCAAUACAAGAAAUUGGAUACAAUAGAAGAUCAAGACGAUACGGUUUCAACUAGCCAACUUGACAUUUGAGAGCACAAUCAGAUUAAGAAUGAGUUUGGAGGUUGAAGGUUUGUACCUUGCGCAAGUCUCCAGAUGUAUGGUAUGCCACAUCUUCUUCAAGGGAUUUCUUGAAACGCGCAUGAUACGCCUGCUUUACCAGCAACAGGUCAUGGGAAGACCUAGUAGUAGCUAUUUCCAAGAGCACUUUGUUGCUUGA